rnacentral:misc_RNA from 1 species
GAUGAAGAACGCAGCGAAAUGCGAUAAGUAAUGUGAAUUGCAGAAUUCAGUGAAUCAUCGAAUCUUUGAACGCAUCUUGCGCUCCUUGGUAUUCUGAGGAGCAUGCCUGUUUGAGUGUCAUUAAAUUCUCAACUGCACUGACUUUGAAUUGGUGUGGCUUGGAUUUGGGGGGAAAAUUGUUGUGGGCUUUUUGUAUAGUCUGCUCCCCUGAAGUUGAUUAGCGGUACCUUUGUGGAACUGUCUACAGGUGUGAUAAUUAUCUACAUCUUAGACAUCUGCUGGAAUGCUGCUUUCUAAACCUUACUUGUAUUGACAAUCUUGACCUCAAAUCAGGUAGGACUACCCGCUGAACUUAAGCAUAUCAAUAAGCGGAGA